GUCUACGGCCAUACCACCCUGAACGUGCCUGAUCUUGUCUGAUCUCAGAAACCAAGUAGGGUUGGGCCUGGUUAGGAUUUGGAUGGGAGAAAAUAAAGUCAGUGAAGGAAAGGUAGAGC
rfam:Fukomys damarensis contig84443, whole genome shotgun sequence.